UUGAUUGACUGCUACAUUCCCCUAUAAAUACAAAGGCUUACAAGGAAAGCCUAGCACAAAAACCAUAAGAAUUAUUUGGGUUUAUAUCAAGAAGAGGAUAAUGGAGAUGAAGAACAAGGCUGCUUUGGUGGCUAUGGUGGUUUUCAUGGUGGUUAUGGCUCAAUCUGUCACCACGAUCACCGCCGAUGAGACGAUUGAGCUCUCAGGUGGAGAAAACACAGCAAGAGUGUGUCCUGCUACGCUUUUGCCUUGCGAAACAGACUCUGAGUGCUCUCCAUGCAUUUGUAAUGUUAAAUCUGGCGCCUGCGUUUGAAACAAAUUAAAAACAAGAUCAUCAAGAACAAUUAUUGUACCCAUUAUCAAUAUCUACAUAUGGUCUUUCUUUCCCUUUUAAAUCAGGAAUAAAAACUUACCUUUCAGAACAAUCUUUGGCCAUGUCUUAUGUUGUGACUAUUAUAUAUUGAUGUGUGCUAAAUCAAUUAUAUGUUGUUGAUUCCAUUAUAUAUUUCCGUUCAUCGUCUGAUCUCUCUCUCUCUCUCUCGUUUAGUUAAUGAAAAAUGCCACUAAAGAAUAGAAAGACAACGUUGGUAAAGCUCCGUCGGUGAAAAUCACUUCACUCUUUUCUUUCUCCUCCUUCAACACUUUCCAUUAUUGUUAUUUUCUUUCUGCUCCCUCAACACUAUUUCAUAAGCAGAAUGAACCAACAUAUAUUUAUUCUUUUCAAUUGAAUGAUACACAUCAACACAUUAUUAUUUUAUAUACCAUAUGAUAACAA
rnacentral:lncRNA from 1 species